GUUGACCUCGGAUCAGGUAGGGUUACCCGCUGAACUUAAGCAUAUCAAUA
rnacentral:rRNA from 1 species